ACAAACUUGGUCAUUUAGAGGAAGUAAAAGUCGUAACAAGGUCUCCGUUGGUGAACCAGCGGAGGGAUCAUUACCGAGUUUCCAAAACUCCCUAACCCUUCUGUGAACAUACCUAUCGUUGCUUCGGCGGGGUCGCCCCGGGGCCGUGCCUCAGGGCCCGGCGCCGGACGCCACGUGCGCCCGCCGAGGGCCUACCAAACUCUUUUGCAUCUACACAGAAUCUCUCUGAGUGGCGAAAGCAAAUCAAAAAUCAAAACUUUCAACAACGGAUCUCUUGGUUCUGGCAUCGAUGAAGAACGCAGC
rnacentral:misc_RNA from 1 species